AAUAUUUAGUUGGAAGUUCCCAGGUAUAGUCCGCUAGUGACAGUCUGUUGGCAAAUCCAGGUAUGUGAUGGAAGGAUUCUGAUGUGAAGGACACAGGGACACCUGAUCCAAGAACUGUGGCAUUUCAUUCAGAGUGACAACCUGACAUUCAGUUGAUAUUGGACCCGAUUAUUCAGAAAACUGCAGAUUUUAGGAAGCUGUUUUUGACAGAAGAUUUGGUUUUUUCCAUCUGUAUUGCCACCAACCAUUAUGCUGAGAUGGUCAUAUCUAGGGGGAAAGAUUGUCAUUAUACUUCCCAAGGAAGUUCGCAUCCUCUCACUGAAGAGGAAUUGUACAGAUGUUCGUGCAUUAUCUUAUACAUGUUUGCUGUGAAGUUCCAGUCGAUAGACAGGUAUUGGUCAAUGCAUGCCCCUUUCGGAACAACCCAGUACAGUGUAUCAGGAAUGAUGUCUAGAAAUAAGUUUUAAGAGGUUGAAUAUAAGAACUUUUUUGUUAAAUAUGAUGCAAGUACAUUUAAAUCUAGUGAUUGAAAGUAAGUACUUGAACAUUUGUAUGCGUUGAACUUACAGAGGAAAAACGGGUAGUACUUUUUGAUAACAUUUGAUAAGGUGCUGUAACUGCUGUUGCUUAGCAACCAAAUAUAUUUGAAUGCAAAAAAUUAAAUUAUUUUAGAUUAACAAUAAAGAUCUUUGUUUUAAUGUUGCAAUAUUUAUUCUAUUUAGUGAAACAUAAUGGCAAAACGUCAUAUUAUUAGAAAAUGAUGGAUAUGUACAAUGUAUAUAAAGUACAAAGUUUCCAUUUUAUGACCUUUGACCUUAAUUCUCUUCAUCAUAUUUUUUGUUAAAAACCUUUUAAAAUGAUUAAGAUUUAUUUAAAGAUUAUAUUUUUAAAAUAAUGUGACAUUUACUAAUCAUCAUUCAAUGUAAUUGUGUUGAAAUUGUGUCAAAUGUAUGUAGAAAGGCAAAUUAUGGUCAAAAUUGUACUACGAGUGUUGUUAUUUAGCAACCAAAAAUAUUUGUUCGUCAAUAAAAUUGAUUAAUUUGA